UACGUAGGGGGCAAGCGUUGUCCGGAUUCAUUGGGCGUAAAGGGCGCGUAGGCGGCGCAACAAGUCACUUGUGAAAUCUCCGGGCUUAACCCGGAGCGGUCAAGUGAUACUGUCGUGCUAGAGUGCGGAAGGGGCUACUGGAAUUCUCGGUGUAGCGGUGAAAUGCGUAGAUAUCGAGAGGAACACCUGCGGCGAAGGCGGGUAGCUGGGCCGACACUGACGGCUGAUGCGCGAAAGCCCAGGGGAGCGAACGGG
rnacentral:rRNA from 1 species